UACGGGGGGGGGGCAAGCUUGUUCGGAAUUACUGGGCGUAAAGGGCUCGUAGGUGGCCAACUAAGUCAGACGUGAAAUCCCUCGGCUUAACCGGGGAACUGCGUCUGAUACUGGAUGGCUUGGAUUCGGGAGAGGAAUGCGGAAUUCCAGGUGUAGCGGUGAAAUGCGUAGAUAUCUGGAGGAACACCGGUGGCGAAGGCGGCAUUCUGGACCGAUAUUGACGCUGAGGAGCGAAAGCCAGGGGAGCAAACGGG
rnacentral:rRNA from 1 species